GCGCCCGUAGCUCAGCCCGGAUAGAGCUGCAGACUUCGGAUCUGAAGGCCGCAGGUUCAAAUCCUGCCGGGCGCGCCA
rnacentral:tRNA from 1 species